rnacentral:misc_RNA from 1 species
AAAGUCGUAACAAGGUCUCCGUUGGUGAGUACAGUCUUUAAGUCGCGGCUGAGACGCGGGGGAGCUCUCGGGGGGGUUUUACUCCUCCAAUGCACUAUUUUCCCUCCGAUGCACUUUUUUCUUUCUGUGGAAUUCGAUGCUAACAUACAGUGUCUAGGUGAACCAGCGGAGGGAUCAUUACCGAGUCUUCCACACUCAGACCCAACCGUGAACCCGAAACCGUUGCUUCGGCGGGCAGCCCCGACGGGCGGCCCGCCGGAGGUCUACGAUAUUAGGCUCUACUGCGGCGUGCCGCCGCACCUUAUCCUCUGAAUUACGCUUCCAAAACUAGUUAAAACUUUCAACAACGGAUCUCUUGGUUCUG